rnacentral:tRNA from 1 species
GGCUCUGUGGCGCAAUGGAUAGCGCAUUGGACUUUAGGCUUCUGAAUGUGAGGUGAUUCAAAGGUUGUGGGUUCGAGUCCCACCAGAGUUG